AACGAACGCUGGCGGCAUGCCUAACACAUGCAAGUCGAACGAAGCCUUCGGGCUUAGUUGCGUACGUGUGCGUAACGCGUGGUAAUCUGCCCCUUGCUUCGGAAUAACAGUUAGAAAUGACUGCUAAUACCGGAUGAAGUCUUCGGACCAAAGAUUUAUCGGCAAGGGAUGAGCCCGCGUAGGAUUAGGUAGUUGGUGGGGUAAAGGCCUACCAAGCCGACGAUCCUUAGCUGGUCUGAGAGGAUGAUCAGCCACACUGGGACUGAGACACGGCCCAGACUCCUACGGGAGGGAGAAGUGGGGAAUAUUGGACAAUGGACGCAAGUCUGAACAAGCAAUGCCGCGGGAGUGAUGAAGGCCUUAGGGUUGUAAAGCUCUUUUACCAGGGAUGAGAAUGCCAGUAACUGGAGAAUAAGCUCCGGCUAACUCCGUG
rnacentral:rRNA from 1 species